rnacentral:rRNA from 1 species
AGUGAACGCUGGCGGUAGGCCUAACACAUGCAAGUCGAACGGCAGCACAGUAAGAGCUUGCUCUUACGGGUGGCGAGUGGCGGACGGGUGAGGAAUACAUCGGAAUCUACUUUUUCGUGGGGGAUAACGUAGGGAAACUUACGCUAAUACCGCAUACGACCUACGGGUGAAAGCAUGGGAUCUUCGGACCUUGCGCGAUUGAAUGAGCCGAUGUCGGAUUAGCUAGUUGGCGGGGUAAAGGCCCACCAAGGCGACGAUCCGUAGCUGGUGUGAGAGGAUGAUAGGCCACACUGGAACUGAGACACGGUCCAGACUCCUACGGGAGGCAGCAGUGGGGAAUAUUGGACAAUGGGCGCAAGCCUGAUCCAGCCAUACCGCGUGGGUGAAGAAGGCCUUCGGGUUGUAAAGCCCUUUUGUUGGGAAAGAAAAGCAGCAGGUUAAGACCACGCUGUUCUGACGGUACCCAAAGAAUAAGCACCGGCUAACUUCGUG